GCCAGCAGCCAUAUCACGCUGCAGCCCACUGAAGCUAAGAAGGUGUGAGCCUGGUCAGUACCUGGAUGGGAGACCUCCUGGGAAAAGCUAAGGUUGCUGCUGGAA
rnacentral:rRNA from 1 species